GCCAGCCCGCUCAGAAACUCAAAGGAAUUGACGGGGCCCGCACAAGCGGAGGAGCAUGUGGUUUAAUUCGAUGAUACGCGAGGAACCUUACCUGGGCUCGAACGUAAGAUGACUGUAGGUGAAAGCUUACAUCUCUUCGGAGCAUUUUACGAGGUGCUGCAUGGUUGUCGUCAGCUCGUGCCGUGAGGUGUCGGGUUAAGUCCCAUAACGAGCGCAACCCCUACCUUUAGUUGCCAUCAGGUAAUGCUGGGGACUCUAAAGGAACUGCCUACGCAAGUAGUGAGGAAGGCGGGGAUGACGUCAAAUCAGCACGGCCCUUACGUCCAGGGCUACACACGUGCUACAAUGGCCGAUACAGAGGGCAGCUACCUGGUGACAGGAUGCAAAUCUCCAAAGUCGGUCUCAGUUCGGAUCGGAGUCUGCAACCCGACUCCGUGAAGUUGGAUUCGCUAGUAAUCGCGCAUCAGCCAUGGCGCGGUGAAUACGUUCCCGGGCCUU
rnacentral:rRNA from 1 species